CAUCUGCUGCCCGGUUCAAGGAGAAGACGUCAAAGCACCAGAGGUCCAGGUUCUAUGGAGAAACAACAGACUCGGCAGGGAGACUCCCAAGGGGAACUUCCCAGCAGCAGCAAGGGUUGCAGUCAGACUUCAAGGAGGACUUCCCAAUGUUCACAGAGAGUUGGGAAACAGGAAGAUGAAGACAUGCCCCGGGUCGCUGUGCCUGUCUGGUAUCCUGUCUGGUAUCGUGCCCACGUCUCUCACCGUGUCUCGUCUAUAUAGACGGCCUCCAGGAGAGAAGCUGUGUACUCCAGGUUCUUCUUCAGUUCCUCAAUGUUUACCUCCCCGUUCUCCAACUGCUUCACCAUGUAGCGCAGCCUGUGGGGGGCGGGGACGCAGAGCCUGGUCAGACGCUGCUACCUUGUUGUGGGAACGGGACACCCGCUGAUGGGGUGCAUUUUACAGACCUGGCCUCAGUCUUCCAUAAAUCGUCACUCUUUCUAACAGUGAGAAUAAGAGCUAGUGUUUCUCAUCCCAGC